rnacentral:lncRNA from 13 species
CAGGCAUGGCUUGCCUGGCUACCAGCAGUGGGGGUAGAUGGGAAUGUUACCUUGCUGUUUGUUUGGAUUCUUCCUUGGACAACAAGAGGCUGUGCCCACUGGCUGAGUUCCCACAGAAGUAAGAUUACUGGGCUGGAAGCCCUAGUAGACAUUGCAUGCCUGACUAUCUGGGUGGGGGUGGGUAAGGUCAUAUGCUCUGCUGUCUGGGUGCUUCCCAGGAUAUUGGGAGACUUCAUCCGCCAGCUGAGUUCCCACAGAAGCAGGACCACUGGGCCAGAAGUUCUAGCAGAUGUCUGCCAGACUACCAGCGGCAGGUGUGGCUGGGAUGUUCUCAAGACACCCAGAAUAGAAGCACUGUGUCAUUCAAGCAUUCCUGAUGGCUGGAGAGCUAUCCUCAAAGUGGCACUGGAAAAAAGGACACCAGCCAGGCAUAUUCGAUUAAGGACCACCCUAAUGACCUCAUUUCAACUAAAUCACCUCUGUGAAGACCCUGUCUCAAAUAAAGUCACUUUCUGAGGU